CAGUCGCCACGGGAAUACAGAGGGUGCGAGCGUUAAUCGGAUUUACUGGGCGUAAAGCGUGCGUAGGCGGCUUUUUAAGUCGGAUGUGAAAUCCCUGAGCUUAACUUAGGAAUUGCAUUCGAUACUGGGAAGCUAGAGUAUUGGAGAGGAUGGUAGAAUUCCAGGUGUAGCGGUGAAAUGCGUAGAGAUCUGGAGGAAUACCGAUGGCGAAGGCAGCCAUCUGGCCUAAUACUGACGCUGAGGUACGAAAGCAUGGGGAGCAAACAGGAUUAGAUACCCCCGUAGUCCCUGUCUCUUAUAC
rnacentral:rRNA from 1 species